GAUCAUGGCUCAGGAUGAACGCUAGCUACAGGCUUAACACAUGCAAGUCGAGGGGCAGCAUGAACUUAGCUUGCUAAGUUUGAUGGCGACCGGCGCACGGGUGAGUAACACGCAUCCAACCUGCCGAUGACUCGGGGAUAGCCUUUCGAAGAAAGAUUAAUACCCGAUGGCAUAAUUCUUCCGCAUGGUAGAACUAUUAAAGAAUUUCGGUCAUCGAUGGGGAUGCGUU
rnacentral:rRNA from 1 species